UGCUGAUCUCCAGAGCCACAUUUUCCAGUCUAUCAAAUAAGAUGAAACCUGCCAGUCUUUCCAUCUUCUGUUCUAUACAGCUCUCAGUGGUAGGCAAAGGUAUGAUCUCACAAGGAUUUUCAUAAGGUCUAAAUAGACGAUGUUGAAGUUUCUCAGAAGAAAGAUGCUCUGUCAGUAGAGGCUCAUCAAAGAUUACUUGAUGGAAGGAGUAUCUGGAAUUUGGGGCCAUGUUUUAAAACUGCCACAGCGGCUUUUGAUAACGGCUCUGAGCUGCCAGUAAGAAGCUUGAAUACCCCAAGUUGCCAUGAUCUGAAGAUGCUCAACCCACAAGAAAGGUCUUGUUGUAAGAAUUCCUGGUCCACAGAAUCCAUGAGCAAAAUAAAAAGGUUGUGGUUAUACAUUGCAAA